CUUUGCGACACUGUCAGCUUGCUGCUUGCUGGUAGGCCUACUGCCCAUGUUGAUAAAAUAAACCUCUCUCUGCCUGUUCCGCUAAUUCCAACUGUUGCAAGUGGAAGAAAUCAAGGACAUCACGUCUACUACUAGCCUACGUGCAAAGACAACAGCUGGCAGCAGUGUGACCGGGAAAAUGCGAUGAGCUGUCAUGUGACACACGCAAACACAAGAAAGCGGAAACGCAUGAUGGAGCGAGAGCCACAGUGGGGUCCUUGGUCCAUUUCCCGUGAGGUGUGUUUUCCUGAAGAGGCUGAAACAUGCUGACACCUCAGUCCUUGCUUCCAUUAACAGCUGUGUUAUGGAGCGCAUCCUCGGGUUAGGAUGUGCUAACCCACAUCAUGGUCUUCUGCAGCGGGUGGAUACAGAGGACAAUCGGCAGUAGGUUAGUGUUGAUCAUUUGUUUGGUACCUAUUCCUUCAAGAGGGGUGCCAGUGUCCUGAUGCUGACCAGUGCCACCGGUUCCGCCACUUGCUUCCUGCUGGAGCCUAAGCACCAACUGGAUGAGGGGACUCCUCUCUGUGUUGAAUCCCCCGGCUCUUUAAGGCUUUGAAGUGGAGAGUGGUGUCAAACUACAAGACAGACAGCAUGUAAACAAGGCCUUGUUUGUCCUUGUUUGGCUACUCAUCACUCUUCUACUUCCUGAAGAGGCUGAAGCAUGCUGGCCUUGACACCUCAGUCCUUGCUUCCAUCAACAGCUGUGUUAUGGAGCACAUCGUCAUCAUUGUCUACUACUGCAACGGGUGGAUAAGGAGGGCAAAUGGCAGGCAGUGUGCUGUGAGGACUGUCCCGCCACUUGCUUCCCGCUGGAGUCUUAGCACCAACUGGAUGAGGGGACUCCUCUCCGUUUUGAAUUUCUGGCUCUCCAUGGCUUUGAAGUAAUAUGAUGUGGGGUCACUUGUUCUCAAAUGCUGCCAGAACUUGAAGACACUUGACAUUUACUGCCAAAAGGUGCCACCAGAGCACCUCUCCCUACCCUACAGGACAUCUACUUGUAUACCAGAAGAGUACAGACUGAACAGGAGUUUCUUUCCUCAAGCCAUCUGCAUCCCGAUCACACAUAACUCUUUAAACUACAUUAUAUAGACUUGCCAUACUGCACUUACACACACUGCUCUGUUUACCACCUGAAAAGAUUGUUGCUGCACUGUCUCAGGUUUUGUUCAAACCAUGUCUAUAUCAAGGAUGGUUCCCAAAACCAACGCCUGUAAAAUAUUUCUGUUAAAAUCCUAUGUCUUCAUAUUAUUAAGUUUGUACAGCAAGCUCAUUUUCUGCGAGGCCCUUGAUUUGGCGAAAAGUGCAAAAAACAGUGACAUUAAGGGUAUGAACUUCUUUUUGUGCACAUUUACAUACUAUGGGUUAUUAAUGUUGUACCAAUAUUUUAGCUCCCCUUACAUAAUGUUGACACAAAAAAGUUUACAAGGCCCAUAGUAUCACCAGUUUUGCACCUUGUUGCUUAUCUAGAGCCUCAUAUAAAAUGAAUGGGUAUGCACUACAAACAAUGGUCCAGUCAUACUGAGAACAUGUCUGUCUUCCAUCUUCCACCAAGUUUGGGCAGAUUGGAACAAUAUUUUUUAAAUAUAUCAAUGCCUAAAGAUGGCCUCCAAGGAAUUUCUGAGAGUGAAAAUGAUACAAAAUCAAGGGUGAAAAGGUGUAUGGAAUUAUAAAAUUGAGCAAAAAGAUUUUACAGGUCUUGGUUUUGGGACUUAAAGGUAGUCAAGAGCAAAAUCUGAGACGGUGCAGCAACUGUUUUCCUGGAUUGUAUCUGACUUGAAACAGAAUGACCCCCCUUCCUUAUCAUUAAAUUACAUGACUGCAUUUCUAAAUCCUUCUUUCUUUAUCCUGUACACCUCUGCACAGGCAAGUUGAGAAGCUGAAUGUCAGUUCUCUAUGUAUUUUACAAUGAUAUCUCUGUAUCUGACAAUUCCUUGAAUCCUUGACAGAAGGCUCAAUUUUGUAUUGUGAUAU